CCUAGCCUCAUAGACUGGGACAACUAUUGGAAACGAUAGCUAAUACCGGAUAACAGUAUUUCUCGCAUGAGAGAUAUUUAAAAGUUGGUUAUGCUAACACUAUGAGAUGGCUUUGCGGUGCAUUAGCUAGUUGGUGGGGUAAAGGCCCACCAAGGCGACGAUGCAUAGCCGACCUGAGAGGGUGAUCGGCCACACUGGGACUGAGACACGGCCCAG
rnacentral:rRNA from 1 species